CACGGAAUUGGAAAUUCUAAUGAACGUGUAUGCCGAGCAGUUACCCAUUUUAACAAAAAAAGCAAUACCGCCGCGGCAGCGAGAGCGAGAGAGAGCUUGGCAGGAAAUAGCUGAACAAGUCAAUGCAUAAGUGAGGGUGAGCAUCUCCAGUGGAGAGGACUUGUGGCCCAGUGCAUGGUCCAGUACUACUCAGGGGGAAUGUACCAAACAAGAAGCUGGUCUGGAUCAUGUCCAGGCGCAAAGCCCGGAGCCUGCGAGCCAAGCGCUGCCAGGCCUGCCCACCAUCCCCGAGGCCAGCCGGGAUGAGAGCGAGGACUCGUGUGAGGACAUGAGCUGUAAGGAAGACAGCCUCUACGGCUCCCCGGGGAGCAAUGGUGGAGGAGCCUCCACCCUCCGCUGCAGAGAGUAGCCCGCCAACCCGUGACCUGCUGUCCCUGGAGGGGAGCUGUGUGUGUUGUUUGUUUUAGUCCCAACCUGUUUGGUGUCCUAACUAACAUUUAUGCACCAGUGGAACCAAGUGCCAAUGUAUGUCUGGUUUACUGUGGUUAGAUUCUGUAGCUUUUUCUAAUUUCAAUGGACAGAAUGUCUUGGCAGCGUUUUGUCAAUAUUUGUAGCUGUGAUGGUUUUAUUUAAUUUUAGUCUUUCUCUCAUGGCAGGUUGCAUGCUAACAAGACAUAUUCCAAGAGACCAGCUGUUACAGCUGCAAUGUUAAACAUGAGUGAUAUGUAGUAUGGGAUGGUUCUGCCUAUUUAUGUAAGGACAGUACAUGCAUAUUUAAUUGUGAAUGCACACGUUACUGUCUAAAAUAGCCCAUUGUAAAAAAUACAAUACAAGAGAACAAAAACAUGUGAUGAAUACUAUAUUGACUAAUAUUAAAAAAAAUAAUGUGACCCGUCCUAAAAAAAUGAACUGAAAUAAAAA
ensembl:lncRNA